UGGUGGAUAGAAUUUAAGAGUAGGAGUAAAGAGCAAAUGACAUGAUGUUACACACUCUUGUACAGUAGGUGGCAGUAUGCACCUUAAAGUUGGUUGCGAUCCGCCAGAAACCGAGAGAAGAAGAAGAAGAAGAAGAAGAAGAAGAAGGAUACAGAGAUUUACUGAAGGAGGGAGAGCAGGUGAUUGCUCUGCUUUAUUGUCAUCAUAAACUGAUAAUUAAGCGCCUAGCCAGUACAGGAACAAGCUCUUACGGUGUUUAAAGAAGAAAGGUGUUUAAGGAAGAAAGGUGUUUUCUGAAGGAAGGAUAUUACAGAAAGCAAAGUGAAUUUGUGUUCAAAAUAUGGCUGACGGCUGAACAUAAAUAAAAGGCUUCUGAACGCUUCACCAUUGUCUGGCUGGGGUUCGCUACAACUGGCGAUACUCCAUAUCUCAGUUAUGUGAACAGAAUGUGUGUUGUUUUCCCACGGUUCUUCAAACAAGUUCCUGAGUCAAGUCAAGUCAAUUUUAUUUGUAUAGCCCAAAAUCACAAAUCACAAAUUUGCCUCGGGGGGCUUCACAAUCUGUACAGGAUACGUCAUCCUCUGUCCUUGACAUUGCAACCCUCACAUUGGAUAGGGAAAAACUUAACCAAAAAAAAAAAAAACCUCUGAAAUGGAAUGAUUAGUGAAAUAUGUCAGACAUUAAUUAUGAUUAUGCUUUUAUAAAUGGAAAUAAAACAU